AGGAAAUCGUCAAGCCAGUAUCUCCUUCAGAGUUGUUUCCAUCUUUGCCUAUUGUACAAGGAACAACUAAAAGGAUUAAAGUCUUAACCCGGCUAACACUUGUUGUUUCUGAUCCUUCCCACUGUAAUCUCUUGAGAUCAACAUCAGCAAAUAUAAGGUUAUAUGACAUCAUAGCAGUAUUUCCGAAGACUGAGAAGUUGUUCCAU